GGCCUCAUGGUCCAGUGGGCAGGGCAUCAGACUGGACAUCUGGAGGCUUGGGGCCG
rfam:Cavia porcellus supercont2_3 genomic scaffold, whole genome shotgun sequence.